rnacentral:rRNA from 1 species
UACAGAGGUCUCAAGCGUUGUUCGGAUUCAUUGGGCGUAAAGGGUGCGUAGGCGGCGCGGUAAGUCGGGUGUGAAAUCUCGGGGCUUAACUCCGAAACUGCAUUCGAUACUGCCGUGAUUGAGGACUGGAGAGGAGACUGGAAUUUACGGUGUAGCGGUGAAAUGCGUAGAUAUCGGGAGGAACACCGGUGGCGAAGGCGGCGACCUGGGUGGAUACUGACGCUGAGGUGCGAAAGCGUGGGGAGCAAACAGG